UACGUAGGGUGCAAGCGUUAAUCGGAAUUACUGGGCGUAAAGCGUGCGCAGGCGGUUUUGUAAGUCAGAUGUGAAAUCCCCCGGGCUUAACCUGGGAACUGCGUUUGAAACUACAAGGCUAGAGUGUGGCAGAGGGGGGUGGAAUUCCACGUGUAGCAGUGAAAUGCGUAGAUAUGCGGAGGAACACCGAUGGCGAAGGCAAUCCCCUGGGCCUGCACUGACGCUCAUGCACGAAAGCGUGGGGAGCAAACAGG
rnacentral:rRNA from 1 species